UACGAAGGGGACUAGCGUUGUUCGGAAUUACUGGGCGUAAAGCGCACGUAGGCGGAUUUGUAAGUCAGGGGUGAAAUCCCGGGGCUCAACCUCGGAACUGCCUUUGAUACUGCAAAUCUCGAGUCCGAUAGAGGUGGGUGGAACUCCUAGUGUAGAGGUGAAAUUCGUAGAUAUUAGGAAGAACACCGGUGGCGAAGGCGGCCCACUGGAUCGGUACUGACGCUGAGGUGCGAAAGCGUGGGGAGCAAACAGG
rnacentral:rRNA from 1 species